rnacentral:rRNA from 1 species
GGGGAAAGAAUUUCGGUGAGGGAUCGGCCCGCGUUAGAUUAGUUAGUUGGUGGGGUAAUGGCCUACCAAGACUACGAUCUAUAGCUGGUUUGAGAGGAUGAUCAGCAACACUGGGACUGAGACACGGCCCAGACUCCUACGGGAGGCAGCAGUGGGGAAUCUUAGACAAUGGGGGCAACCCUGAUCUAGCGAUGCCGCGUGAGUGAUGAAGGCCUUAGGGUCGUAAAGCUCUUUCGCCUGUGAUGAUAAUGACAGUAGCAGGUAAAGAAACCCCGGCUAACUCCGUGCCAGCAGCCGCGGUAAUACGGAGGGGGUUAGCGUUGUUCGGAAUUACUGGGCGUAAAGCGCACGUAGGCGGAUUAGUCAGUCAGAGGUGAAAUCCCAGGGCUCAACCCUGGAACUGCCUUUGAUACUGCUAGUCUUGAGUUCGAGAGAGGUAAGUGGAAUUCCGAGUGUAGAGGUGAAAUUCGUAGAUAUUCGGAGGAACACCAGUGGCGAAGGCGGCUUACUGGCUCGAUACUGACGCUGAGGUGCGAAAGUGUGGGGAGCAAACAGGAUUAGAUACCCUGGUAGUCCACACCGUAAACGAUGAAUGCCAGUCGUCGGGUAGCAUGCUAUUCGGUGACNCACCUAACGGAUU